GACAGAGGGUGCAAACGUUGUUCGGAAUUACUGGGCGUAAAGCGCGUGUAGGCGGCCCUGCAAGUCGGAUGUGAAAUCCCACGGCUCAACCGUGGAAGUGCACUCGAAACUGCAGGGCUAGAGUCCUGGAGAGGAAGGUGGAAUGCUUGGUGUAGAGGUGAAAUUCGUAGAUAUCAAGCGGAACACCAGUGGCGAAGGCGGCUCACUGGCUCGGUACUGACGCUGAGGUGCGAAAGCGUGGGGGAGCAAACAGGG
rnacentral:rRNA from 1 species